rnacentral:rRNA from 1 species
AGCGAACGUUUGCGGCGGGCCUAACACAUGCAAGUCGAACGAGAAGCCCUUCGGGGUGGAAAGUGGCGCACGGGUGCGUAACACGUGGGUAAUCAACCCUCCAAUCUGGGACAACGCCGGGAAACUGGCGCUAAUACCGGAUACGUCAGCUGAGUCUUCGGUCUCGGUUGGGAAAGGCCGGCAACGGUCGUUGGAGGACGAGCUCGCGGCCCAUCAGCUUGUUGGUGAGGUAAUGGCUCACCAAGGCUAAGACGGGUAGCUGGUCUGAGAGGAUGAUCAGCCACACUGGAACUGAGACACGGUCCAGACUCCUACGGGAGGCAGCAGUGGGGAAUAUUGCGCAAUGGGCGAAAGCCUGACGCAGCCACGCCGCGUGAGUGAUGAAGGUUUUCGGAUCGUAAAGCUCUGUGGAGAGAGAAGAAGAAAGCCUGUGAAGAGCAGGCCUUGACGGUAUCUCUUUAGCAAGCACCGGCUAACUCCG